ACAUGGCUGGUAGUCCUUUUGAGUUUGAGAGCAGUGUCAGCUGGUUCACGGAGUCCUCUCAGGCUCUUCACCUCUAGGGGAGCAGGGAAGAAUGAAGGGAAACUGGGGCAGCAGAUCUCUCUGCCUGCAGGUGCUGUCCCUGGAGACCCUCCUACAACAGCCAGACUUUUUGAAAACAUCUGUGGCGAGGAAGCUCAUCUAACUAAGCCACACAUAACUGAAUGCCUACUCUGCACAGGGAGCUGGGAUGGGCAGGACAGUACUAAGAUGAGCUAUGGCCUGGGAGGGAACCAGCCAAUUCUGUCUGGAGGAGCCAAGAAAAGUUUCGGAGAGGAGGUGAGGCUUUAGACCAGCCUGGAAGAACAAGUAGAAGCUAUCCAAGCAGACAAGAAAGAGAUGGGGCUUUCUAAGCAAUGGAGACAGCACAUGCAUGUGAGAUCCCUGCAUUUGCUGUAAAGCCACCACACAAGAAGACCCUCACGAUUUGUUGCCCUGAACUUCGGAUUUUCCA